rnacentral:rRNA from 1 species
UACGUAGGGUGCAAGCGUUGUCCGGAAUUAUUGGGCGUAAAGAGCUCGUAGGCGGUCUGUCGCGUCGGACGUGAAAACCCAGGGCUCAACCCUGGGCCUGCGUUCGAUACGGGCAGACUAGAGUUCGGUAGGGGAGACUGGAAUUCCUGGUGUAGCGGUGAAAUGCGCAGAUAUCAGGAGGAACACCGGUGGCGAAGGCGGCAUCCUGGACCGGCAUUGACGCUGAGGAGCGAAAGCUAGGGGAGCAAACGGG